GUGCUCGCUUCAGCAGCACACAUACUAAAAUUGGAACAAUACUGAGAUUAGCAUGGCCCCUCCGCAAGGAUGACACACAAAUUCGUGUAGCAUUCCAUAUUUAA
ensembl:snRNA U6 U6 spliceosomal RNA